GACGAACGCUGGCGGCGUGCUUAACACAUGCAAGUCGAACGGGUCUGCCCUGUUUUUUGCGGGGUGGGUCAGUGGCGAACGGGUGAGUAACACGUGAGUAACCUGCCCCUCACUUCUGGAUAACCGCUUGAAAGGGUGGCUAAUACGGGGUGUUCUGGCUGUGCCGCAUGGUGUGGCUGGGAAAGAUUCACUUUUGUGGUGUUUUGGUGGGGGAUGGGCUCGCGGCCUAUCAGCUUGUUGGUGGGGUGAUGGCCUGCCAAGGCUUUGACGGGUAGCCGGCCUGGGAGGGUGGGCGGUCACACUGGGACUGAGAUACGGCCCAGACUCCUGCGGGAGGCAGCGGUGGGGGGUAUUGAACAAUGGGCGGAAGCCUGAUGCAGCGACGUCGCGUGAGGGAUGGAGGCCUUCGGGUUGUGAACCUCUUUCGCCGGUGAAGAAGGUCCUGCUCUUUGUGGUGGGGUUGACGGUAGCCGGGUUAUGAAGCGCCGGCUAACUACGUG
rnacentral:rRNA from 1 species